GAUGAACGCUGGCGGCGUGCCUAAUACAUGCAAGUCGAGCGAACGGACGAGAAGCUUGCUUCUCUAAUGUUAGCGGCGGACGGGUGAGUAACACGUGGAUAACCUACCUAUAAGACUGGGAUAACUUCGGGAAACCGGAGCUAAUACCGGAUAAUAUUUUGAACCGCAUGGUUCAAAAGUGAAAGACGGUCUUGCUGUCACUUAUAGAUGGAUCCGCGCUGCAUUAGCUAGUUGGUAAGGUAACGGCUUACCAAGGCAACGAUGCAUAGCCGACCUGAGAGGGUGGUCGGCCACACUGGAACUGAGACACGGUCCAGACUCCUACGGGAGGCAGCAGUAGGGAAUCUUCCGCAAUGGGCGAAAGCCUGACGGAGCAACGCCGCGUGAGUGAUGAAGGUCUUCGGAUCGUAAAACUCUGUUAUUAGGGAAGAACAUAUGUGUAAGUAACUGUGCACAUCUUGACGGUACCUAAUCAGAAAGCCACGGCUAACUACGUG
rnacentral:rRNA from 1 species